CUCACCCGGUUACAGUAAUUUGUGUAAUGUUGGACAUACGAUGAAAUAACACGACAUUGAUACAGCAAUUUGACCUCAGACUCAUUUUUAUCAGCAGAUUAGUGUGCUUUGAGUACACCACAGUUCUGUAAGUGAAAAAUUAAUUCAUAUUUAUGUGUGUUUCUUUCUCAGUAAGGACUAACUUUAACUGACUUUCUGUCUGUCUGUCUGUCUGUUCUCAACCAAACGGUCAUUCAAGACCUUUUAAAGCAAAAACAUUUCCCGUGCAAGUUUGAAUCUCUCUCAGUAAGGACUUAUUGACCGGCUGUCUGUUCUCGACCAAACGGUCAUUCUUACUCAUAAAAAACUUUUAAAGCACAAGUGUGUCCCGCACAAGUUUGAAUUUCUCUCAGUAAGGACUGACGGACGGCCAUUC